CUGAUAUUUAUAAAAGAGUUAUGUUAAGAGGCGGAGCUUAACACAGGCCUGUAGGACACAGACUCAUUCAGUGACGCGAGCAGAAGCCAGUUCAUCAUGUUCACUUGUGUGCUUAUACUGCUGUCUUUAACUCAAGGUAACAGAGCUAAAGAUGUCAUCACACCAUACAGUGAUGCAGCAUUUGCCACUGAGACUGAGAGUGUGAAACUCUCUUGUAACUACACUGGUUCUGUUGAUAGUAUUCACUGGUAUCAGCAAUAUGCAGGUUCAUCACCACAGUUCCUCAUUCUGGAUUAUUCAGGAUAUGUUACUCAUGCUAAUCCUCCAGUUUCUGGAAUAUCCAUCAGCCACAGAAAAGAAGAGAACAGUGUGGAUCUGAUCAUCUCCUCUGUUGCAGUAACAGACUCUGCUCUCUUCUACUGUGCUUUGAGGCCCACAGUCACAGGAAACAUUCAACACACCAUACAAAAACCUGAAAUUGCAAAUUUGCAGUGAUGUCUAUCCAUCAGGCAUAUGAAGGCAUAUAUUCAGAAUAUAUAAUUGUGCUCUCAAAUUGCAAUUUGUUUAUGAAUUACUCUGAGCUUUGUAUUCAAAAUACACAUCCAUUCUUCAUUGUUAAAAAUGAAAUGAUUUGACAAGAUGAAUCGCUAGUGAUGGAAGAUAACACUAUUCUGAUGCAAACUAUUAUGGAUUCUAUUCACUGUCUUCUUAAAAUCUGUGUAAUAUAGUGUACAUUUUGGAAAAAAAUUCUGAAAAGUUUUCAUAAAUUCCUGUCCACUGUACUGUAGUUGGAACAAUUUUGCACAUUUUAGUCUCCAUUUUGAAUGCACCAGUUUUUUGAUACAUGUAUAUGUUUGUCAUCUGACACUAGGGGGUGAAGUUGCAGCAAAAACAACAUGCAGUUUGAACUGAGUGAAUUACAGUAUUUACAUUCAGAAUUCUAAUGGUAUUUUCUUUAAACAGAAUAC